GAGGAUGUGGCUCAGUUGGUAGAGUGCUUGCCUUGCAUGCAGAAUGGCCUGGGUUCAAUUCCCAGCACCACA
rnacentral:tRNA from 1 species